UACGGAGGGUGCAAGCGUUAUCCGGAUUCACUGGGUUUAAAGGGUGCGUAGGUGGGUUGGUAAGUCAGUGGUGAAAUCUCCGUGCUUAACAUGGAAACUGCCAUUGAUACUACUGAUCUUGAAUUUUCUGGAGGUAAGCGGAAUAUGUCAUGUAGCGGUGAAAUGCUUAGAUAUGACAUAGAACACCAAUUGCGAAGGCAGCUUACUACAGGGACAUUGACACUGAGGCACGAAAGCGUGGGGAUCAAACAGG
rnacentral:rRNA from 1 species